GAGCGUCCGGUCGUGGGACGGCGCCCACGUGGGGGACUCCCCGCGCGCCAGCGCCGUCCACGCCCGGAUGAACUGGAUCGCGCCCGCGCCGUCCAUCGUGACGUGGUGCAUGCCCGUGCCCACGGCCACGCCGCCGCACUUGAGGAAGGUCACCUGCAAAAGAUCAGGUUUUUGUCCUGGUUAUUACAUUAUAUUCUGAUGAAUGAUGAUGUUCCGACUCCACACGACACCAGCUUUUAAUUAUUUUUCGAUCUGCCCACCAAAAGCAGCAGAUGAAUGCAGAACAGAUUUCCAGACGACAGCAGAUCCUAAAUUGUUCCAUCUAUUGUACUAUCUUUCUUCAGUUAAAUAAAUAGCAAAAACUCGGCACUCAAAGAGGGUCCCAAUUUGUUCGGAGCGCCAAAGGUGAUUUGACUUGCAAGUUGCAGCCGCCAAGCUCUGAACUUAUCUACUACUAAAAGCCUUAUGAUGGUAAGAUAAAAAAAAAAGACACCCUCUAAUCACACACUUAUCUUUAAAACGCAGAGGCAAACAAGACAAAAUAACAGGGUAUACUCCACCCUCCAAAUUGUCAACAAAGGUGUGCCAACCGAUCGCAUCAUUCUGUCUCUUUCUCUGUACAUAACGGUUGCCCGUUAUAGUCCACCGCCCGAGGAUCCAAAUCGAAGCUUGAGCUCGCACCAUGACAGCAAUCGCUAGGCCAAUUUGCAAACAUCUUGAAAACAUCGGCCACGGGCAGACCAUCCAUGCUGCGAUAAGCAGCUAGUACCUCGUUGUCACUGUCAGGCAUCCAUCAACGACGGCGCGGCGCUUCGUGGCGCCGUAGGGGCAUCCCCAUCCCCAUACCGGCGCCGGCCACGCACACACGGCAGCGGCGAUUCUGAUCGAUUCGACGACACAUUAGCAUCGCCGUCGCAAUCUAUCGCUGACAGUUCUGGCGUGGGAAGGAUUUUGUUUUCGUUCUCGUUUGUUUGUUCGUUUGUUUUUUGGUUUGGCUGAGAUCGAUGGCACUAUCGAUCAUGACAGUUCUGGGGUGGCAAGGAAUUUUGUUUUUGUUUUUCAAUUCCGUUUGAGCGGAGCGAGCACGUCUGCAAAAGCACAUCCAGAAUUCCACCUGAUCCGUGAAGCAAAGCUUGGCCCGUCCAGGUGCGAGGUAAAGCGAGGCAGUCGCAUUCGGGGCAAAGGGAUAAGGAAGGAAGGCCAGGGAGGCAGGGAAUCACAGCUAUGUUCAUCUCAAUGAUUAGAUCAGUCUAGAAGCUCUAUGCAUGGGGGAUGUGAUCUGGCACACAGAGAAUUGCGGAUAGAUACGAGUUGGAGGGUUGCACGCAUGUGCAUGAUUACUACUACUACUUGAUUAGUUUGCCUUUCGCUGCGUGUUUUUUUUUUUUCCUUUGGUGAAAGAAAAAUGCACAGAGACUACAAUAACAAGCGCUGCUGUUUACUUCGUAUCGUUAAUUUAUGAGCAAAUUGUGCGUCCUAAUCAGGAGUGUUUUGGGCGAUGGUGUUCCCAUGCCCAACACUUUUAGUAAACUCCCCAUCUUACCGCUUUCGGUGAACCAAACGAAUCUUUUAACAGUGGAAAAUAAUCUCUCAGUCACAAGGGGGAACUGGGAGUGCUACUUGACAUUCGUUGGCUGUCACGAUCACCCACCGUCAAAGUGUGCGUACACCGAGUGAGUACUAGUACUACUGAUGUCUGAUGACUGCAUAGCUAACAGCUCGUUACACCGACCGCCUCGCAAAUUAUUGACCCCCCGAGCCGUCCUUUUGUCCUGAGCAGCUAGCAGCAGUAGUCUCGCUGAGAAUCACGAAUGGCCUACCAGUCCUAGGGCUUGUUUAGUUAAAAAAAAAAUUUCGGAUUUCGCUAUUGUAGCACUUUCGUUUUUAUUUAACAAAUAUUGUCCAAUCAUAAACUAACUAGGAUCAAAAGAUUCGUCUCGCGAUUUAUAGACAAACUGUAUAAUUAGUUUUUGUUUUCGUCUAUAUUCAAUACUUCAUGCAUGUGUCGCAAGAUUCGAUGUGACAGGGAAUCUUGAAAACUUUUUGAAUUUUGGGGUGAACUAAACAAAGCCCUAGCAGAAAACCCGGGGAAACUGUACAGGGACCAUGUGCUCUCGUCGGUUGGAUGUUCAUCCAACUGCUCUUCUCAUCAAUAAUAAUAAUAAUAACCUAAUAAAUCUACGAAACGGCCUAAAACAAAAGUCAACUGCAUGCGAGGAAGUCCAUUCCGUAGGCGGUAGGGCCGUAAAUAACGUGCCUGCUGGUUCGAGCAGCCGGCCUCGGGUCGUCGCCCAGGUCGAGCCCGUCCACGGCUCGGACCGAGCAACGCGGGCCCAAGUGACGUGGGCGGGAAUCGGUUUCAUAGCGUCGCGUGAUUCUUGCUCGUCGCCUUGUGUCGCGCCAAUGCACUGGACGGCGGGUUCCGAGACAUCUCCCAUGGAAAAACGGGACUCCACGGCCGGCAUCGCCCGGGGCAGGCGAGACUGCUUGCCGUGACCGGUGAGUUUGCGGCAUAUCCGCCACGCUCUUUUGGUUUCCAGCAAAAAGAAAAAAAAAAAGCUUUUCAACACGAACCUGUCGCGAAUCUACGAGUAAACGAUUCCUAGAUAAAAGAAAUGUAAUUAUUCAAUUUGGCAGGGUUUUAUACAAGUAAAGCUUCUGGGAGCAUCCGUCGCUCGACACGUCCUUUGUACUACGAGUACGAGUGUCCGACCACCAGCGUGCCCCACUUCGUCCUGUGUACACACGCUGUCCUGGUGGGCCCUACGAUCAUAGCGACACGAGAUCAAGGGGCCCCACGAGCCAGCAGUUGAAUUAUCCUAAGGUUCUAGCCUCGUCCUCGUCCUAGGCGUCUUCUGACCCCCGAUUUGUUUUUUCAUCUUUUUUAUUUACGGACCAACGUGCCGCGACCGCGAGAUAAAAAAGAAACGGAAGGCGGCAGGAAGGACAGUUUAAUUAAUUAUAUGAACCGGGAUUACGACGGUGAAAAACUGAAAAACGAACACGUAGACCCCGUGGUGAUUUUGAUUCAGCAAGCAAAGGGUGAAGGCGUGAAGCAAUCAGAGGUCAGAGCAAGGAGCCAAGGGAAGGCAGGCGGCCGGCGCGCACGGACCUGGACCAUGGCGAGCACGCAGGGCGGGUCGCCGGAUUCGGCGAAGGGCACGAGCAGGCGGCGCGCCUCGGGGGACGGCUCGAAGUCCCUGAACAUGUCGUCCCCGGUGAAGUCGGCGCGCGCGACGACGAACAGCGCGCCCUCGCCGGUGCAGUCGAUCUCGAUCCGCCCGCCCUGGCCGACCACGAGCCGCCCCGCCAGCGGGUAGAACGCCACCAGCGCGCUGGCGAGCGCCUCCCGCAGGCGCGCCGGGUCGAAGAACGACCCCUCCCCGGCGGGCGCGUCGGCGUCGGGCUCGGGGUCGGGGUCGGGCGGCCUCGGGUAGUAGUAGACGAGCGGCGUGUGGGUCUUGGGCACCGCCAGGUCCAGGUUGGACAGCCACAGCGCGUGCCGCGGCGUCGCCUCGCUCGGCGGCACCAGCGUCGUCUCCACCACCUCCACCUUCAUCCUCGCCCCCCCGCUCUGAUUUGUGUGCGUCUCUCUGGUCUGCAGCUGUGUGCUCGAGCGGCGCGCUGUGGAGGGAGGUGAUGGUUUAUAAAGAGAGGAUGGGAAGGGGAUGGGGGGUUAUUAUUAAUUGGCUAAUUGGCGUGGAGUAUGUGAUGUUGAUCCACAUCCACUAAUCUGACGGCUGAGGCUAAUCGCUCUCACGUGCGACGCCACAUGGAGGAAACGAGAAAGACGUUGUGGUAGUCCGGCUUGUUGCUCGUCUCCGUGGUAACUCGAGUAGUAUGUAUAUCUAUGCUAUGUCUAUAUAUCUAUACAUCUUAUAGUUCUAAAUUUCAUUAGAUAUUUUAUUUUGAUAUACACAUAUAUAAGUUGUCUGUCUCAUCUGUGCACUAUAAGUUAGAAACAUAGCUCUGUAGCAUAUGAAAUUAUAAUAAUACUCUCCUUUCAUCUUAGAAUAAGUGUGAUUUUCAUUUAUCGAAAAGCCAAAACUUUUAAUUUUAGCCAAACAUAUAGGAAAAUAUAUUUAUAUGCAUAACAAGUAUUAUUUAUUAAUUGUUGAGUAUGUCUUUAUAAUAAACUUAUUUAAUGAUAGUAAUAUUGCUAUUGUUUUUAUAUAUCUAAUCAAACUUCAAUCUUUUUUACCUGCACAUAACCCAAAAUGACAUUUAUUUUAGAAUAGAGAGUACACAUUGGCAAGGUAUCAUUCACCUAAUAUUGUGCAUCAGGGUGUUUGAUUUAACGAAUGAGUUAGUUCGUCGUCUAUUCAUUCCCUAUCUUCUAUUUGGUUUGUGGAAUAAAAUAGGUUGAUGCAUCUUAAUCAAUCCUCACGAGCUAAUAAUUAGUACGUACUAGUAUGAGAAAUAGAGCUAUUGGACCAAAUUUGAGGAAUGAACUCAUGAUACUAGCAUUACCUUAUCUUGGACGGAGUGGCUCCUCAAACCAAAGAUACUGUAUUAGUUAUUCACAAUAGCAUACCACGUCAUCUAUUAACAUUAAUUUAUGCUACCUCCAUUCUCGUUGAUGAGGUGCACGGAUAUUAAGAUUUAAACUUUAAAACCUUUGACUUAUAAUUUAACUAACACAUUUUAAUUAUUGUAUAACAUAAACUUGGUAUAUAUAUAUAUAUAUUUGUAAAUACAAAUAAUAUAAUAUAUAAAAAAAUGACGGUUAAAGUGUAAUUUAUAAGAUCAUAUCGUACCAAAUUGUGCCUUAAAAGAACAGACAGAAUAAUAGUUUUUUCUCUCGAUGACAUAAUCACAUAAAUAUAUAAUUAUACAUCUUUGUCGAGAAAAUAUUCGUUUUUUUUUUUUUUUUUUUUUGAAACCGAGAAAAUAUUCGUUACGUCCAAGAAGAUCAAUAAAUUUUACAUAGAUGUUCAGACCCUCGUCCCUCUAUAUAAGUAAUUAAAUCAUGUGUUAGUCCCGCACGACAACGCACGUGGCUAUGUUUGUGGUUAACAAGGGUUAAACUACGGUUGGCCCCGUGGAAACGCUUGUGCGCUUGUCGGGAGCGCGGCAGCAUAUAUGGGGGUUUUGCGUGUAGGUAGCCCCUUAUCUGGACACUGGAGUGAUGCGGCUUUUUGUCGGCAACUUUCCCGUUCGUUCCAUGCGCCUUCCCCACCUUGCUCUUCCGAGUGUGUCGCCGCUGCUGAGGUUAUCUACGCUGCAGAACAGCGCGCACAAGGUGGUGUGUGUGUCGCCGACGUGGAAUGUACCGGGAGUCCAUGAAUUCUGCGGAUAAAGCUAGUGCACAAUAUGUUGCCUGAAAAUGCGUCAGGUGACCAAACAUGUCAAACACGUGAAAAUGCGUUUCACAGGGAGUGAAAGUGGCGGCUCCGAUCACCCGAUCGUCGUCCAACACGCUAAUGUAUAAAAAUCCAUCUGUUGCUUGCGCGUGUACACGAUGACGUCUCCCAUAAGUCAAAUCGUAAUUUUGUGCAUCCAACCUCAUUCAGAAAAAAUAUAUGAUGGUCAUAGGCACUGACGUACGCACGGGCUUGCGGCUGCUAUCGCAGAACGUACCUGUAUAUACAAUAUGUAAAUCCAAUUCGGAUUUGGAAUAUUUGUCGAUCGAUCACAAUAUUCUUGCAGCCCCACUGCCAGUAGAACAAUACAAGGACCAGGGUUAUUAAUUAAAGCCAUGUUCUCUCAUUCUCUGCAUUUUAGCAGGGCGCAACUUGGACGGCAGCCAUCAGUCUGCUUGGUCACUCCUCAGCAUCUCUGAACAAAAAAUGUCUGGGAAUGGACGGCAGGCCGGGCGCCUUCAUUCUCCGUUUAUGGUAGUAUAAACGAUCCACAGAAUCACAGAUAUUCGAUCAAAUUGCAGUUGGAAACUGUUUAAGAGCACCAUGGCCAUUGUCAAUGGACGAAGCUACAAGAAUCGGGUUCGUGUAGCCACUGUCAGUUGGAUGAGCCGUUGUGCCGUGCAUGCAUCAGCCUAUGUUCGAUUGGUGGUCGUCCGUUUACUCGUGCAGUUGUGCUUUUGUUUAAGCAGGUCCCCUCUGGACAGCCCAUCCGCUGGCCAAUUUUUCCUCUUCUUGUUGAGAAGUCAGCUCUGUGUGAGAGCGUUAUAAAAAGAAAAGUAGCGACGUGUACAGUUGUAGUACUGGUAGGACAGAAUCCUACCAGCUAGGGUUUGGAGGUUGUAGCGAUGAAUUGCCGGAGAGUGAGGAGGAGGACGGCGCUUGAACACCGUGGCUGUGCGCGAGGGAGAAGAGGUGGCGGCUAGGGUUAGGCUAAAAGUCUUCCAGCUCCAUAAAAGAAGCCGAGUAAAUAUGAUUGCUCUUGCUUGAUUGUAUCAAUAAAGUUUACAGAUAUUUAUGUCUUUUCUACUCCACCUAUUUUGCUAAUAACCUAUCUGGGACUAAUAUAAAUUGCAAAUACAAAGAUAACUGAACUUAUAAAGAUAACUGGGCAAGGGUAUCAGCCCAUUAAUCAUACGCCGGCCAUAACAUCUCUCUCCGCCUGGACAAACAGCUCGUCCUCGAGUUGUAAAUCGGGAUAGAGGACCAGGAGAACUGCUGCAGCGGCUCCCAUGUAGCAUCAACAGAAAAGGGCCUUCUAGAGCCGCCUGGAGGGCCUCCUUGCAUCGUCAUCGUCCAACCGCGCACGUACGACUCAUCGUAGUUGAAGCACAACCCCUGACGACGACGCUCGAGCAUCUAGGCUGGCGUCAGGCAGUGAAAUGUUGCCAGCGCCGGAGCCUGUUGUGGGGCAGACAAUGGAGGUAUGGCUGCGGAUGGGUCAGGAGCACGCGCCUCUGCAGCGGGUACAGGUAGUGCCAAUUGUUGGCACUGAGGAAGCGAAGUGGUUUGCUGGGCAGGGACCAACAAGGUAGCCGCGACACGAUGCUCAAACGCCCGAGCGAGGUACAUGGCUGUCUGAAGGUCCUGUGGCUCCCUCAACUUGACGUCGACCUUAAUGUGCUCCGAUAAGCCGCCCACAAAGAGUUCCGCCUUUUGUGGGGCGGACAGAUUGUGGGCAUGACACAACACCGCGUUGAAGCGAUCGGAUAGUCCUGAACCGUCGCGCUAGCUUAGAUAAUCAGGUGCCACGAACCGCUGGCCCAAAACGAAGAUUGCAGAGCUCCUUAAAGCGUUGCUAGGUAGGCAUACCCUCGUCCUUCUUGAGGGCGUAGUACCAUGUCUGCGCAACGCCAUGAAGAUGAUAGGAACCGAGCCAUGUGCGAUUGGACACCGGCAUGCACUGGCCCCUGAAGAACUGGUCACAUUGAUUGAGCCAGUUGAGAGGGUCGAUGGAGCCAUCGUAUGUCGGGAUUUCUAGCCAGUAGUGCUUUGGUGGCUCAAGCCCGCCCCAGAGCGCCCCGUCGAGGCCCGCCGUAAGUACCCCACCGUUGGGUCACCGUAUGUCGGGUACCAUAAUGAGGGAUACCCAAAUCAGAGCAAUGAAAAAACGCAAAAAACAUACUAACCACAAUCACCGGGGUACGGGCCUCAGUUCAUUCAACUCGUCCCGACCCCUCAGGGCCUCGGACGCAAGUUCCAACUCGUCCCGGCCCCUCAGGGCCUCGGACGCAAGUUCCGACUCGCCCGACCCCUCAGGGCCUCGGACGCAAGUUCCGACUCGCCCGACCCCUCAAGGCCUCGGACGCAAGGUCCGACUCGCCCGACCCCCCAGGGUCUCGGACGCAAGUUCCGACUCGCCCGACCCCUCAGGGUCUCGGACGCAAGGUCCGACUCGCCCGACCCCCCAGGGUCUCGGACGCAAGUUCCGACUCGCCCGACCCCUCAGGGUCUCGGACGCAGGUUCCGUCUCGCCCGACCCCUUAUGGGCCCGGACACCGGAUCUCGAUCCACCAGGUCAACAAGACUUUCACCAUACGGCGCCCAUACCCGCGAGGUGACAAGCGCGAUGACUUUCAUACCGUGGCAGGGCAGGGUGCCAACUGUUCCAACCACCCCGGUCACUGUGGCCUUACCUCUGUCACUAUACAUCCUUACCCCUUUCACUGUAGCGCGCUGCCGCACAGUAGGAAGAGAAUGGGAGAGGUUAAUCAGCACCACUAUUUGAGGUCUUUUCCCACUGUUGACAGGAUGUGCAGCAGUGCUGGCGAUCCGACCCCCGCGACCCCUAUAGGGCUCGGUAACCCUCUACAGGGGCAGCCAUACCGUUAACCAUCCCUCAAGGACAAGAUGGACCAGCUCCAACAGGGUCGGGACUGUGGUUUCACCGUUCCACCCAGGGAAAUCAACUCAUGUAAAUCUUUGUCCAAAUAAUCCCUUUCCGUUACCUCGUAUUGAUCAGAUAGUUGACUCUACCGCGGGAUGUGAAAUUUUAUCUUUUCUUGAUGCUUAUUCCGGCUACCACCAAAUCAAGAUGAAAGAGUCCGACCAGCUCGCGACUUCAUUCAUCACCCCUUUCGGAAUGUAUUGCUACGUAACCAUGCCUUUUGGCCUCAAAAACGCGGGGGCUACAUAUCAACGAUGUAUGCUCCAGGUUUUUGGGAACCUUAUAGGCAAAACGGUAGAGGCUUAUGUAGACGACAUUGUCGUCAAGUCCAGGGAAGCAAGCGGCCUGGUUGCCGACCUGGAAGAAACAUUCCGAUGCCUUAGGGCGAAAGGGAUCAGACUCAACCCUGAAAAGUGCGUUUUCAGGGUCCCCCGAGGCAUGCUCCUUGGGUUUAUUGUGUCUGAGCGGGGGAUCGAGGCCAACCCAGAAAAGGUCUCGGCCAUCGCAAAUAUGGGCCCGAUUCGUAACCUAAAGGGAGUGCAGAGGGUGAUGGGAUGCCUAGCCUCCCUAAGCCAUUUCAUUUCUCGCCUCGGGGAAAGAGGGCUGCCUCUGUAUAGGUUACUUAGGAAAUCUGAGCACUUUUGCUGGACCCCCGAGGCCCAGGAAGCCCUUGACAAGCUCAAGGCUCUGCUCACCAACCCUCCCAUCCUGGUACCCCCCGCCGAGGGGGAACCACUAUUUCUCUACGUCGCAGCCACUGAUCAGGUGGCCAGCGCAGCUAUCGUGGUCGAGAGGAAGGAAGAAGGGCACGCCCUGCCGGUCCAAAGGUCGGUAUACUUCAUCAGUGAAGUACUCUCCGACACAAAGACCCGAUACCCCCAGAUCCAAAAAUUACUCUACGCAGUAGUAUUGGCCCGGCGCAAACUCCGACAUUACUUUGAAUCCCAUCCGGUCUCAGUGGUCUCAUCUUUCCCUCUGGAGAAGUGAUUCAGAACCGGGAGGCCAACGGAAGGAUAGCCAAAUGGGCCAUAGAACUCAUGGGCGAUGGGAUCACCUACGAGCCUCGCAGAGCCAUAAAGUCCCAGGUUCUGGCAGACUUUGUGGCAGAGUGGACUGGGACUCAGCUCCCGCCACCUCAAAUCCAGCACGAGUGCUGGACCAUGUACUUCGACGGGUCUUUGAUGAAAACUGGGGCCGGCGCGGGCCUUGUCUUCAUCUCACCCCUCGGGGUAAGGAUGCGAUACGCAAUCCGGCUCCAUUUCCCUGCUUCGAACAAUGCAGCAGAGUACGAGGCCCUUGUUAACGGUCUCCACAUCGCGAUCGAGCUUGGGAUCAAACGGCUCGACAUCCGAGGCGAUUCUAGACUCAUCAUCGAUCAAGUCAUGAAAGAGUCUAGCUGCCAUGACCCCAAGAUGGACGCGUACUGCAAAGCGGUUCGACGCCUGGAAGAAAAGUUCGACGGCCUCGAACUUAACCACGUGUUAAGGAAGUAUAAUGAGGCCGCCGACGCGCUCGCCAAGAUGGAAUCCGUGCGGGCCACGGUCCCCCCGGACGUUUUCGUCAGUGAUCUUUACAAGCCUUCCGUCGACUACAAGGACGACGGGGGGUCGGACGAACCCCCAAGCGAACAGAGUUCCGACCCUAAAGACACUGCCGCUCAAGAACAGGAGGCCAUGGACAUCGAGCCAGAGCCACCUGCACUUGACGACUCGCCCGACUGGCGCUACCCUUUGCUUCAACGCCUGGUCGACGGCACUUUGCCCCUGGACCAGGCCGAAGCAAGGCGCGUGGCUCGUCAUGCCAAGACCUUUAUCCUCCUUGAUGGGGAGAUGUACAAGCGAAGCCCCUCGGGCGUCCUCAUGCGGUGCAUCCCACGUCAAGAGGGAAUCAAGCUCCUACAGGACAUUCACUCGGGGGCUUGUGGCCAUCACGCCGCGCCUCGGACGUUGGUAGGAAAUGCCUUCCGACAAGGUUUCUACUGGCCCACCGCCGUAGCCGACGCCACAGAGAUCGUCAGGGCCUGUAAGGGAUGCCAGUUUUAUGCUCGGCAGAUACAUCUACCCGCUCAGGCCCUGCAAACGAUCCCCAUCACCUGGCCUUUCGCUGUCUGGGGCCUCGACCUGGUCGGGCCUCUGCAGAAAGCGCCGGGGGGCUUCACACACUUGCUUGUCGCAAUCUACAAGUUCUCCAAGUGGAUCGAAGUCCGACCCAUUACAAGGAUCAAGGCUGAGCAAGUAGUGUUGUUCUUCACAGACAUCAUCCAUCGAUUUGGAGUACCGAACUCCAUAAUCACCGACAAUGGCACACAGUUCACCGGGCGAAAGUUCUUGCAAUUCUGCGACAGACACCACAUACGUGUGGACUAGGCGGCAGUGGCUCACCCCAAGACCAACGGUCAAGUGGAGCGUGCCAAUGGCAUGAUCCUCCAGGGUUUGAAGCCCAGGAUUUUCAACCGUCUGAACAAGUUUGGAAAAAGGUGGCUCAAAGAGCUACCAGCCGUCGUCUGGAGUCUGAGAACCUCCCGAAGCCGAGCCACAGGCUUCACCCCGUUCUUCAUGGUCUACGGGUCGGAAGCUGUCCUCCCCACUGAUCAGGAGUACGGGUCCCCGAGGGUACAAGCCUACGACAAAAAUAGCGGCAAAACGUUCCAAGAAGACGCGCUGGACCAGCUGGAGGAAGCCAGGGAUGUAGCCCUCCUACACUCUGCCAAAUACCAGCAGGCCCUCCGCCGAUACCACGCACGACGAAUCCGAGGCCGAGCCUUUCAAGUCGGCGACUUGGUGCUGAGGCUCAGACAGAGCAACAAGGGUCGUCACAAGCUCACACCCCCCUAGGAAGGACCUUUCGUCAUCGCCGAGGUUCUCCGACCCGGCACCUACAAGCUCGCCAAUGAAGCAGGGGAGGUCUUCAAAAACGCAUGGAACAUAGAACAGCUACGUCGCUUUUAUCCUUAGAACUUUGUAAAAAUUUCUUUGUUCAUUCACUACCUUCAAGGAAUAAAUCAAAGUUUAAGUUAUCAGAGAGCCUCGGACCUGCCAAGCAGAGUCCGGGCCUCCCUCGGGGGCUACAUGGGGGGAACCCCCUAUGUCAACUCCGAAUCUUUUUUUCUUUUUUCUUUCACGCAAGUUAAAAGAACACCGACCCAAGGUCUUCCUCCUCCCUCCUAAAAAGACUUAAGAAACCGAAAAUCCGUCCCCUAAAUCUUAAGGCAUGAGCCCGAGAAAGGAUCUGCGCUCACGAGCAAAGACCGCCUCUACUCACCUUAGAUUCGGGGAACGAAUUCGGACUUCAAAAAACUACUAAGGGAAAAAGGAAAAGCACUUAGGCUUGGGUAUGCUGGCUAGCGCAAAACUCUAAGUAGCUCACCCGACCUCGCGCUGCCGAGGUCGGAUCGGCAUAAAGAGAAAGAAAAUAAGACACUUAGGGAAAAAGCUCAAAAAGAGCAUUCAUACAAAUAUCUACAUUAACAUUGUAUAUAUAUAUUACAAGGCCCACCGGCCUCAACACCCACAAAAAGAAAAGUAAACUAAGAAUCCUACUGCCCUGUCUGCCCAGGUCCUUGAGCCCCGAGGGGGGAAGCUCCGCCUCAUCGUCGAAAAAGGCGGCCAAGGCGUCUCCAGGGACAGUCGCGGCAUCGUCAAGCCUCUGCACCUCCUCCUGGGCCUCUGUUUCGUCAUCAGGGAGAACGUAGCCCUCACAAACCGCCGGCAAGUCAAUGCCGGCAUAGUGAGAGCUCACCACCGCCAGGGCCUUCUUCACCCCGGUGUGGAGUGCCUCCCUCAUAUUCUCCCCGGCCCGGGAGUAAAGGGCUUCGAUCCGACUGCGCAGCGACGACCCCGACACCGAUACCCCGAGCCCCUCACACGCCGAGGUAACCACGGCUUCAAGAGCCGAGCGGUCCGAAGCCUCGGCGUCCAGGGACUUUUGCAGGGCCUCGGCAGUAGAGGCCGUCUCGACCACCUUCCUCUCCAAUUCUGGUUGAAAAACAGAGUAAGAAGCAAAAAGUCAAGAAAGGCAAACUCAAAAAGUAUAAAGGAGUCCAGGGUAAAGGGCGCAAGUCUUACCCUCGGCACGCUUCUCGUGCUCCGCCGAGCUCUGAUGCCAGCGGGCCACCUGGCUCAGAGCCCCGGCUAGGUCGGUCUGAGCUUGGUUCAAGGCAAGGUCUUUUUCGGCGAGCAAAGCUUUAAGCCGAGCAACCUCACCCUUGUACCCCUCAGCCGCCGCCUUUUGCACCUCAGAUUCCUGGGCAAGGACUCCAAUCCUCUCCUCCAGGGGGGCGACCUUGUUCCGGGCCUCCCGAGCCUCGGUGGCCAAUGCCGAGCACUUCUGCCAAAGUUCGGCAGAAAUCUCGCACUCCUUCGCGAGCUCUCCCUCAGCCGCCUCCCUGGCGGCCCUCUCGUUCUCAAAGGACGCCCUGGCAUCCCUUUCCUGACGGAGAAAUACUGACUUCUCCAGGGAGGUGGCCUUGAGCGCCUACAAGAUCAGAGGUCACACAGGGAGUUAACAUCGCAAAGCAAGGACAAAACUACUUCACAACACGGGUAAAAAUCUUACCUGAGCUAGAUUGAACAUGUCGCGGCCCACGAGCUGAGAAGCUCGGUUGAGGGCCUCGACACCAGCGCGCCCACACACGUCCAGACCCUGCCAGAGGUAAUUCUCUGACGGGUCAUCCAGAAUGAAUCUGGCUCCCUCCUCGGCAUCGCCGAGGUUGGGCUAGAUCACGGGGCUCUUGCCCCAUCCGGCAUCUUCCUCCCUUCCCGCCGCAGGGGCCUCGGG
rnacentral:lncRNA from 1 species